AGCAGCCGCGGUAAUUCCAGCUCCAAUAGCGUAUAUUUAAGUUGUUGCAGUUAAAAGCUGUAGUUGGACUGUUACUUUGAAAAUUAGAGUGUUUAAAGCAAGCUAACGCUUGAAUACAUAGCAUGGAAUAAUGAAAUAGGACGUUCGAUCCUAUUUGUUGGUUUCUAGGAUUGACGUAUGAUUAAUAGGGAUAGUUGGGGGCAUUAGUAUUCAAUUGUCAGAGGUGAAAUUCUUGGUUUAUUGAAGACUAACUACUGCGAAAGC
rnacentral:rRNA from 1 species